rnacentral:rRNA from 1 species
GAUGAACGCUGGCGGCGUGCUUAACACAUGCAAGUCGAGCGAGAGAACUCGAAGGAAAACUUCGGUCGGAAUUCGAAUGAUCUAGCGGCGGACGGGUGAGUAACGCGUGGGAGACCUGCCUUGUACAAGGGGAUAGCCUCGGGAAACCGGGAUUAAUACCCUAUGAAACCACAAGAACGCAUGUUCUAAUGGUCAAAGCUCCGGCGGUACAAGAUGGUCCCGCGUCUGAUUAGCUAGUUGGAGAGGUAACGGCUCACCAAGGCGACGAUCAGUAGCCGGCCUGAGAGGGUGAACGGCCACACUGGAACUGAGACACGGUCCAGACUCCUACGGGAGGCAGCAGUGGGGAAUAUUGCACAAUGGGGGAAACCCUGAUGCAGCGACGCCGCGUGAGCGAAGAAGGCUUUCGGGUCGUAAAGCUCUGUCCUAAGGGAAGAAGCGAAAGUGACGGUACCUGCAGAAGAAGCGCCGGCUAACUACGUGCCAGCAGCCGCGGUAACAC